AGUAAUUUAAAAUUUAGUCUUGUAUGAAGAAUAUUAAAUUAUGAAGUGAAUAUGUUAAAGUAGUAAUUAUAAGUUUGUUGUACACUCUAUUCAAACCCUAAUUAUGUGUCCACCAAUUGGAUUUGCGGCGGCCAUUAUAGUAGUACGACAAGCUUCCAGUAAUGUAUUAUGAUCUUGAGUCAUUUUAUCAAAUUCAUCAAUACAACAAACACCUUGAUCAGCUAAAACAACAGCUCCAGCUUCUAAAGAAAAAUCAAUACCUUUCUCUC